AGUGAACGCUGGCGGUAGGCCUAACACAUGCAAGUCGAACGGCAGCACAGUAAGAGCUUGCUCUUACGGGUGGCGAGUGGCGGACGGGUGAGGAAUACAUCGGAAUCUACUUUUUCGUGGGGGAUAACGUAGGGAAACUUACGCUAAUACCGCAUACGACCUACGGGUGAAAGCAGGGGAUCUUCGGACCUUGCGCGAUUGAAUGAGCCGAUGUCGGAUUAGCUAGUUGGCGGGGUAAAGGCCCACCAAGGCGACGAUCCGUAGCUGGUCUGAGAGGAUGAUUAGCCACACUGGAACUGAGACACGGUCCAGACUCCUACGGGAGGCAGCAGUGGGGAAUAUUGGACAAUGGGCGCAAGCCUGAUCCAGCCAUACCGCGUGGGUGAAGAAGGCCUUCGGGUUGUAAGGCCCUUUUGUUGGGAAAGAAAAGCAGCAGGUUAAUACCCCGCUGUUCUGACGGUACCCAAAGAAUAAGCACCGGCUAACUUCGUG
rnacentral:rRNA from 1 species